rnacentral:rRNA from 1 species
CCUACGGGAUGCACUAGUGGGGAAUAUUGCACAAUGGGGGAAACCCUGAUGCAGCCAUGCCGCGUGUAUGAAGAAGGCCCUAGGGUUGUAAAGUACUUUCAGUCGGGAGGAAGGCGUUGAUGCUAAUAUCAUCAGCGAUUGACGUUACCGACAGAAGAAGCACCGGCUAACUCCGUGCCAGCAGCCGCGGUAAUACGGAGGGUGCAAGCGUUAAUCGGAGUUACUGGGCGUAAAGCGCACGCAGGCGGUUGAUUAAGUUAGAUGUGAAAUCCCCGGGCUUAACCUGGGAAUGGCAUCUAAGACUGGUCAGCUAGAGUCUUGUAGAGGGGGGUAGAAUUCCAUGUGUAGCGGUGAAAUGCGUAGAGAUGUGGAGGAAUACCGGUGGCGAAGGCGGCCCCCUGGACAAAGACUGACGCUCAGGUGCGAAAGCGUGGGGAGCAAACAGGAUUAGAUACCCCUGUAGUC